rnacentral:rRNA from 1 species
AGAGUUUGAUUCUGGCUCAGAACGAACGCUGGCGGCAGGCCUAACACAUGCAAGUCGAGCGCGCCCUUCGGGGUGAGCGGCGGACGGGUUAGUAACGCGUGGGAACGUACCCUUUGGUAGGGAAUAGCCACUGGAAACGGUGAGUAAUACCCUAUGAGCCCUUCGGGGGAAAGAUUUAUCGCCAAAGGAUCGGCCCGCGUUAGAUUAGGUAGUUGGUGGGGUAAUGGCCUACCAAGCCUACGAUCUAUAGCUGGUUUUAGAGGAUGAUCAGCAACACUGGGACUGAGACACGGCCCAGACUCCUACGGGAGGCAGCAGUGGGGAAUCUUGGACAAUGGGGGCAACCCUGAAUCCAGCCAUGCCGCGUGAGUGAAGAAGGCCUUAGGGUCGUAAAGCUCUUUCGCCUGUGAAGAUAAUGACGGUAGCAGGUAAAGAAACCCCGGCUAACUCCGUGCCAGCAGCGGC